UCGGAUGCUCGGAUGUUCACCUCAGGUGCACAUUUCCAACUGAGCGUGACUGCCUGGAUGUGAGCAGCGUCUCCAAACACCAUACGCCAUAGGGCAUGCUGAUGACUUUACAUGAUGACCGGGAACAGGGAGUUUAUUGCCCCCAUGGUGAACCCAGCCCCGGGCCCCCGCUCCCCUGUACCACAGGCCCAGGUAGCGGUCUUCUCCACGGGAGGUCAACUUCAGAAGGAGGAGGAAAGGAUUGUGCGGUGAUUUAACCUUUUAGAAGUUUACAUUGGUGGGAUAUAUACUUAAUACGACAGAUAAAUGGUAAAUAUUCACAGUCACGCAUCAUACCCUGCGAUAAAGUGAUAACCCAUGCCGACCAAUGCACAGACGUUGCACAUCUGUGUUUAAGAUCUGCAAAGUCCUAUCUCACUCUUUAACACUUUCUACAGCUAUCCUCACAUUCUUGACCACCUAAACCCCAGAUGCAAGAUUGUGAUGCGCCCUUUUGUGGUUGAGUGCAGGCUGCUGAACACUUCCUCUGGUUAUCGGGACGUUCCGUUCUCUUCCUGGUGGUCGGCUUGUUACGUUGCUUUUCAUCGAGCACUAUUGUAAACGAAUGGAAUAAACAUUCAACAAUGACAA